GUGGGGAAUAUUGGACAAUGGGCGCAAGCCUGAUCCAGCAAUGCCGCGUGAGUGAUGAAGGCCUUAGGGUUGUAAAGCUCUUUUACCCGGGAUGAUAAUGACAGUACCGGGAGAAUAAGCUCCGGCUAACUCCGUGCCAGCAGCCGCGGUAAUACGGAGGGAGCUAGCGUUGUUCGGAAUUACUGGGCGUAAAGCGCGCGUAGGCGGCUAUUCAAGUCAGGGGUGAAAGCCCGGGGCUCAACCCCGGAACUGCCUUUGAAACUAGGUAGCUAGAAUCUUGGAGAGGCGAGUGGAAUUCCGAGUGUAGAGGUGAAAUUCGUAGAUAUUCGGAAGAACACCAGUGGCGAAGGCGACUCGCUGGACAAGUAUUGACGCUGAGGUGCGAAAGCGUGGGGAGCAAACAGGAUUAGAAACCCCAGUAGUCC
rnacentral:rRNA from 1 species